rnacentral:rRNA from 1 species
UCUUUCCUACGGGACGCAGCAGUCGAGAAUCAUUCACAAUGGGGGGAAACCCUGAUGGUGCGACGCCGCGUGGGGGAAUGAAGGUCUUCGGAUUGUAAACCCCUGUCAUGUGGGAGCAAAUUAAAAAGAUAGUACCACAAGAGGAAGAGACGGCUAACUCUGUGCCAGCAGCCGCGGUAAUACAGAGGUCUCAAGCGUUGUUCGGAAUCACUGGGCGUAAAGCGUGCGUAGGCUGUUUCGUAAGUCGUGUGUGAAAGGCGCGGGCUCAACCCGCGGCCGGCACAUGAUACUGCGAGUGUAGAGCA